UACAGAGGGGGCUAGCGUUGCUCGGAAUUACUGGGCGUAAAGCGCACGUAGGCGGCUCUUUAAUCGGAGGUGAAAUCCUGGAGCUCAACUCCAGAACUGCCUUCGAUACUGAAGAGCUCGAGUCCGGGAGAGGUGAGUGGAACUGCGAGUGUAGAGGUGAAAUUCGUAGAUAUUCGCAAGAACACCAGUGGCGAAGGCGGCUCACUGGCCCGGUACUGACGCUGAGGUGCGAAAGCGUGGGGAGCAAACAGG
rnacentral:rRNA from 1 species